rnacentral:sRNA from 1 species
GUUUCCCCUCUUUUUCCUGAGCCGCCGUGCCCCAGCCGCCUCUCCCCACGCUAGCCACUCUCUCCACCGCCGGCCGCCAACUCCAGCCGAGUCGCGCCGCCUCUCCGGUCGUCCCCGAUCUGCGCCGUCGCCUCCCUCGGCUUUGUAGUGAAGAGCUCUAUCCCGGCCACCCGUUCUUUUGCCCUGAACCCCGCCGGAAGUCGUCAUCACUGUGAAGGCCGAACCGUCGCCAUGUUUUGAUCUCCGGCGAAGCUUUGCCGUCGACUCCGUGGUCGCCGAACCCCGCUGUCUCCUCCGUUGGCAUCGCAGCGACAACAGCAAGCAUGGCAGCCGCCCCCGUGAAGCCACAAGCCAUCGGAGCGUCAUCGUCACCGUGAAGCCGAUCUAAUCCAUCUUCAGCCGUGCCGCUCAUCGCCGUCCAUCGCCGCCUUCGUUCGCUGUCGCCACCCACGGGAUCGCAGGAGGGAGGUGAAGACUGUCCGCCCCUUAGUUGCUGCCUCCCCUCGUCAAAACGCCGCCGUCAUCGUGGACAGAGCCACGCCGCCGCUUAAUCUCGUCGCCGGCCAUCUCCCGUCAUCGUCCGUGGUCAUGCCGGCCCUUGGUUUAGUUUUCCGUUGUUUCGGAUGAUCGUUCGUUCGUUGGAGGAGUUCCUGAAGACGAAUUGAAGACGCUUGUUUGUAAGUUGAAGAAAAAGGAUCCAGAAGGAGAAGACGUUUGGCUUAUACCCCAGUUGAGCUGCCUGUGGGAGUGGAGCUGAAGCUUCGCUAGGUUUUAUUUUUCCACUCUAGUUUUCUUCAUGGCUUGGGAGAAGAACUUCAGGGUGUGACACCUCGCGAUUCCCAACCCUAACCGCCGUCUCCCCGCCCCAAAGGUCUCCGGCGCGUGCUCCCCCCAACCACCGGCGCCGAUUCCCAACCCUGCACGCCGGAAGCUCUCCCAUCGCCAGGUGUUAUAUAUAAUUUUGAGAUACCGGUCACGCCGACGCCGUCUUCUCCCUACUUCACCCGCAGGGUGAAACGACAGUUGAAGGUUACUAGAGCGUUUGGUGCAGGCUUUCUAAAUAAGAUACAAGUGAAGCUAUUUGUGUGAGCUCUAGCUGUACCAAAAUCUCUCGAGUUACAUUGUUGAACAAAGUUGGUAUUGGCUGUGCAACCAGAUCAGUCGCACAGGACUUUGUCCAAAUUGUGUGUGUCAUUCCUAAUGGAUGCAUAAACAAUAAUAAAACUUUUGUAUGCGAUAUGUGUUUGAUCCUAUGAAGAAUGUGAGGGGGAUUUGGGUGAUCUCACCAGCUGUUGGCUCUUACAUGGCAUGAUUUACAGUGUGUAAAAAAACAUGACGUGCUCUGUAAGAAUUGAUGAGUCUUGUUCAAUAUAAAAGCAGAACUAUCGAUAUGCCGUGG